GUGUCAGCAGCCGCGGUAAUACGAAGGUGGCGAGCGUUGUUCGGAUUUACUGGGCAUAAAGGGCGCGUAGGCGGUUCCGUAAGCAGCGUGUGAAAUCCCACAGCUCAACUGUGGAACUGCACGCUGGACUGCGGUUCUCGAGGACGGCAGGGGGGUGCGGAACUCCAGGUGUAGCGGUGAAAUGCGUAGAUAUCUGGAGGAACACCGGUGGCGAAAGCGACACCCUGGGCCGUCUCUGACGCUGAGGCGCGAAAGCGUGGGUAGCAAACAGGAUUAGAUACCCUGGUAGUCC
rnacentral:rRNA from 1 species